rnacentral:sRNA from 1 species
AAUUAAGGUGGAACAGGUGGUGCAGUAUUCUAGUCGAAAUCUUCUUCUCUGAAGACGGGGCUAAAAAUCCGUCGAGGGCACAUCGAUGAAGUUCCUUGUGCUGGCUUUCGACGCCCAGUCGGGGGUUGGUGCAGGGAGUAAGGGAGUGGGGCAACCUGCAAAGGCAUGCGGGCGUUUGACCCUACUCCCGUGGAGACCUAAGUGCGUGAUGGAAGGCUAAAAGCCUCCUGUUACGGCUUAGGGCGUGAACCUGCAUCCGAUACAAACCGUGUUGGGUGCAGUGUAGCCUGCCUUGAGCGGGAAGGGUGGAAAAAGGGAAAACGCAUUUAAACUGGCCAUUUAAAUGCGGCUUAAUUACCUUUGAAACCCUUACUGCAAAAGAGGCUAGGAGAAGGUGGAUUUCGGUGAGGAAAACUCCUAGACUGUUCCAAAAGGAAGUGGACUGAGGAUUGCAGUGCGGACUAAGUGGCAAUCCAGCCCUGCCUUUGGCGACAAGGCAGAGAGAGGCGUAAAGGGGAACCGCCUUUUCCGGCGACGGGAGGUGCUUCUCUGGGAAAUCCUGCUGGACCUAAGCCGCAAAAUUUACUCAGUUCACUACCUCCUGUUCCACCUCGUUU